GGAUGUAGCUCAGUGGUAGAGUACUUGUCUAACAAGCAUAAGGCCUGGGUUCAAUCCCCAGCACUUUCA
rnacentral:tRNA from 1 species